AGUAUGGAAAACCCCAUUAAGCUCAGGAGGGAUAGCGCCGUGGAAGUUCUUUCAUUAUUCCGCCGCCGCCGGUGAUGGGUGGUGGUGGAUUCUGGUGGCCGUGAUUGAUCUCUACAGCGCUAUCCAUCCUGGGUUUCCCUGGAUUUUUAGUUCAUAC
rnacentral:miRNA from 1 species